rnacentral:rRNA from 1 species
GAUGAACGCUGACAGAAUGCUUAACGCAUGCAAGUCUUUGGCGAAUCUGUGCUUGCACAGGCUAGCCAAGGCGGACGGGUGAGUAACGCGUAAAGAACUUGCCCUGCAGACAGGGAUAACAGACGGAAACGACUGAUAACACCUGAUACAGUUGCCGGCACGCAUGUGCCUGGCAAUGAAAAGAGAUGCUGCAGGAGAGCUUUGCGUCCUAUUAGCUUGUUGGUGAGGUGACGGCUCACCAAGGCGAUGAUAGGUAGCCGGCCUGAGAGGGUGAACGGCCACAAGGGGACUGAGAUACGGCCCUUACUCCUACGGGAGGCAGCAGUGGGGAAUAUUGGACAAUGGGGGCAACCCUGAUCCAGCAAUUCUGUGUGCACGAAGAAGGUUUUCGGAUUGUAAAGUGCUUUCAGCAGGGAAGAAGAAAGUGACGGUACCUGCAGAAGAAGCGACGGCUAAAUACGUG